GAGGAAUAUUGGUCAAUGGGCGAGAGCCUGAACCAGCCAAGUCGCGUGAAGGACGACGGUUCUAUGGAUUGUAAACUUCUUUUGUAGAGGAAUAAUGGCAGCUACGCGUAGCUGAGAUGCAUGUACUCUACGAAUAAGUAUCGGCUAACUCCGUGCCAGCAGCCGCGGUAAUACGGAGGAUACGAGCGUUAUCCGGAAUUAUUGGGUUUAAAGGGUGCGUAGGUGGCGUAUUAAGUCAGUGGUGAAAAGCUGCAGCUCAACUGUAGUCUUGCCGUUGAAACUGAUAUGCUAGAGAGGAGACGAGGUAUGCGGAAUGUGUGGUGUAGCGGUGAAAUGCAUAGAUAUCACACAGAACGCCGAUUGCGAAGGCAGCGUACCAGGCUCCGUCUGACACUGAAGCACGAAAGCGUGGGGAUCAAACAGGAUUAGAUACCCUGGUAGUCCACGCAGUAAACGAUGAAUACUAGAUUUUUGCGAUAUACUGUAAGAGUCUAAGCGAAAGCGAUAAGUAUUCCACCUGGGGAGUACGCCGGCAACGGUG
rnacentral:rRNA from 1 species